UACGUAGGGUGCAAGCGUUAAUCGGAAUUACUGGGCGUAAAGCGUGCGCAGGCGGUUCUAUAAGACAGAUGUGAAAUCCCCGGGCUCAACCUGGGAACUGCCAUUUGUGACUGUAGAGCUGGAGUGCGGCAGAGGGGGAUGGAAUUCCGCGUGUAGCAGUGAAAUGCGUAGAUAUGCGGAGGAACACCGAUGGCGAAGGCAAUCCCCUGGGCCUGCACUGACGCUCAUGCACGAAAGCGUGGG
rnacentral:rRNA from 1 species